rnacentral:rRNA from 1 species
UACUUAGUGGCAAACGGGUGCGUAACGCGUAAGCAACCUGCCCUCAACUGGGGGAUAGCCCGGUGAAAGCUGGGGUAAACCCGCACGGUCCAGUGGAAUCACCUGGUUCUAUUGGUAAACAUUGAUGGGUUGAGGAGGGGCUUGCGUCUGAUUAGCUAGUUGGCGGGGUAAAGGCCCACCAAGGCUGUGAUCAGUAGGGGUUCUGAGAGGAUUGGCCCCCACAUGGGUACUGAGAUACGGACCCA